GACGAACGCUGGCGGCGUGCUUAACACAUGCAAGUCGAACGGAAAGGCCCUGCUUUUGUGGGGUGCUCGAGUGGCGAACGGGUGAGUAACACGUGAGUAGCCUGCCCUUGACUUUGGGAUAACUUCAGGAAACUGGGGCUAAUACCGGAUAGGAGCUCCUGCAGCAUGGUGGGGGUUGGAAAGUUUCGGCGGUUGGGGAUGGACUCGCGGCUUAUCAGCUUGUUGGUGGGGUAGUGGCUUACCAAGGCUUUGACGGGUAGCCGGCCUGAGAGGGUGACCGGCCACAUUGGGACUGAGAUACGGCCCAGACUCCUACGGGAGGCAGCAGUGGGGAAUAUUGCACAAUGGGCGGAAGCCUGAUGCAGCAACGCCGCGUGCGGGAUGACGGCCUUCGGGUUGUAAACCGCUUUCGCCUGUGACGAAGCGUGAGUGACGGUAAUGGGUAAAGAAGCACCGGCUAACUACGUG
rnacentral:rRNA from 1 species